UACGUAGGGGCUAGCGUUGUCCGGAAUCAUUGGGCGUAAAGAGCGUGUAGGCGGCCCGGUAAGUCCGCUGUGAAAGUCGGGGGCUCAACCCUCGAAUGCCGGUGGAUACUGUCGGGCUAGAGUGCGGAAGAGGCGAGUGGAAUUCCUGGUGUAGCGGUGAAAUGCGCAGAUAUCAGGAGGAACACCGGUGGCGAAGGCGGAUCUCUGGGCCUUACCUGACGCUGGAGGCGACGAAAGCUAGGGGAGCGAACAGG
rnacentral:rRNA from 1 species